GCAAUUUUAGUUUAUUGAGAAUGUUGGUUUGUCUAACCGUUGGUAACUUUAUGUUAAAUUGCU
rnacentral:tRNA from 1 species